GAUGAACGCUGGCGGCGUGCUUAACACAUGCAAGUCGAACGGAAAGGCCCAAGCUUGCUUGGGUACUCGAGUGGCGAACGGGUGAGUAACACGUGGGUGAUCUGCCCUGCACUUCGGGAUAAGCCUGGGAAACUGGGUCUAAUACCGGAUAGGACCACUUCUUGGAUGUUGUGGUGGAAAGUUUUUUCGGUGUGGGAUGAGCUCGCGGCCUAUCAGCUUGUUGGUGGGGUAAUGGCCUACCAAGGCGUCGACGGGUAGCCGGCCUGAGAGGGUGUACGGCCACAUUGGGACUGAGAUACGGCCCAGACUCCUACGGGAGGCAGCAGUGGGGAAUAUUGCACAAUGGGCGCAAGCCUGAUGCAGCGACGCCGCGUGGGGGAUGACGGCCUUCGGGUUGUAAACUCCGUUCGCUAGGGACGAAGCGUUUUGUGACGGUACCUGGAGAGGAAGCACCGGCUAACUACGUG
rnacentral:rRNA from 1 species